AUUAAAUUUUGGUGAGUAUCUUGAGGAGUAUUGGCAGGCAUAUUUUAGGUGUAAAACUACUGAAUCUCCCUCUCUGCUCUUUAGAAGUGUUUUGCAUUCCUCCUCAGCCUCCUGUACAGACAGACCUAGAACUCACAAAAUGACCUGUGAGAAAAUUUUUAAUGCAAUUAAACCCCUUAAAUUUCCAAUUCAUUACUCUAGCUCCACGUAACCACUGAAAGCUUUGCCGGUGUGAA
rnacentral:lncRNA from 1 species